rnacentral:rRNA from 1 species
AAAUUGAAGAGUUUGAUCAUGGCUCAGAUUGAACGCUGGCGGCAGGCCUAACACAUGCAAGUCGAGCGGCAGCGGGAAAGUAGCUUGCUACUUUUGCCGGCGAGCGGCGGACGGGUGAGUAAUGCCUGGGGAUCUGCCCAGUCGAGGGGGAUAACAGUUGGAAACGACUGCUAAUACCGCAUACGCCCUACGGGGGAAAGGAG